GCUCACUUCGGCUUUACAUAUACUAAAAGAAUGGAAUAAUACAGAGAAGACCAGCAUGGGCCCUGCACGAGGAUGACACAAAACUAAAUGAAGUGUUCCAUUAAAAA